AACGGCGCAGCUGGGACUCUGUGCUGUGGCAGCCUAAGCGAAUGCAGGCAUUGUUGGGCUGUGUCCUAAGGUGAAUCAACAUGACUUCACACUAAUGCAGCAGAGGCAAACCAUGGUUUGGCCAAAAAUGGAACAGAAUUUACAAGGGAAAAGGGAAGUUCCUGGAGUAAUAUGGUGUCAGAUGAGGAUGGAACUGGUGAAUGUGCAGAAGAGAAGGUUGGAAGAGUGCAGUGGUGAUGACAGCCCUCCACUGCUCCUUCCCCAGAGGAAGGAGCUCCAGUUUAUUCACCCCUCUUUUAUCAUGAGGCAGAGGGGAAACAAUGACAAACACACAGUAAACUUCGUUAUCAACAAACAGAAGUUGUUACCAAGGCAACAGAAC
rnacentral:lncRNA from 1 species